rnacentral:tRNA from 1 species
GCGCGUCUAGCUCAACUGGUAGAGCUCCGGACUUUUAAUCCGGCGGACGGGGUUCGAGUCCCCGGACGCGCA